UCCAUUGAAGCGGCUUCUCAGGUAGUAUUUCUUAAAUUAUCGACUAUCAAUUUCACAAUCUAGGGUUUAUUUCUAGUUAAUUGCUCGAAUGUUUUUGUUAUGAAAUAUAAAUUGUUGUUUGGAUUCGAAAUUUGUUGAAUAGCAUGCGAAUUUUGUCGAUUCAAGCAUUUAAUUGUUUUUAGAUUUUAUGUGUCAUGUAUUGUGAGUUUGUGACCCUUGAAUUUAUGUAAAAUUGGGGGAUUAGAGCAAUCUUGAGCUCUUCAUUGUGCCUUUUGCUUGGUCGGUUUGUUGUCACGGAUUCAUGGGGGAAUUCGAGUAGUUUAGCAUCUGUUUCUUGUGAUUGUACUGCCUUGCAUUUUGAUGCAGAGUAAAGAUGAGAAAUAGGGUUACAUUUUUGGGAACUAGCAAGCUGAACUUGGUGAAAUUGUAUAAUUUCUUGGAUUAUAUUUUCUUUAUGUUUAGUACUUUUAAGGCUUUAUAAAGAGGCUUCCAUUGCAUAUAUUGAGGCUUCCAUUGCAAAUAUUAAACAGAUUUCUACAUGUGAAGGAGACAGAAAAUUGAAGUAUGGCGAUCAUCAUGGUUUUCUCGUAAUUACACUUAUUGACACGCCAAGAGCUUAUGCUGAUCUCAAAUCUGAGGAACUUGGUCAGGGUGAAGCUAUAGCUCAAAACAUAAGGUCUAUGUUUGGACUGAGAGUUCCUGUCAUCUCAAUAGUCACCGGUGAAGGUGGUUUUGGGGGAGCUCUGGCCAUCUGUUGCUGCAAUAAAUUGUUUAUGCUUGAGAAUCCUGCUUUCUAUGUUGCUAGGUUUUCUUCGCAUCUAUUGUCUAUUUUUGGUUUCUUAUUAUUAUUCAAAUUCCUUCAUCAUUUUCCAAUACAUGCUUACCUUAUUAUUUCCCUUUUGACAUUCCUGAAGCAUGCGUUGCAAUAUUAUGGAAAUCUGCCCAAGCAGCCCCAAAGGCUGCUGAAAACAUGAGGAUAACA